GAUCUAACAUUAAGUAACCCUAUUUUGAGAUGUGAGGUAUCACGAUCUCUUUCAAUAAUGGCAGGAAUGGAGGAGGUCUUUAUCCUAAUAAGAUUGCUAAGGCGAACACCGCCAUGUUUAGUUUUGCCCAACCUAGGUCGAGGCACAGACACAGUCUCAAUGGGUAUGGCUGAGCUGACUACACUGACUGUGCUAUUGGCAGACUCCACUAAGCUGGCAGGUUGGCUAACAGCCUGCUGCCUGGCCUGCACCCUAUUUCAUUGUGGGGCUAAAGGAGUUAGAGCCCUAUCUAUGUUGGUAGAUAAGAUGAGAGCACCCCUCCAGGUAGGAUGGAGUCCGUCACUCCUUAGCAGGUCAGGCUUGGUCCUGUUUGUGGGUGAGUCCCAGAAAGAGGGCCAAUUAUCUACAAAUUCUAUCUUUUGGGAGGGGCAGAAAACAGUUUUCAACCAGCGAUUGAGUUGUGAGACUCUGCUGUAGAGCUCGUCACUCCCCCUAACUGGGAGGGGGACAGAGACAAUUACUCGAUGCCGACACAUCUUUCUAGCUGAUUUACACGCUGAAGCGAUGUUGCACUUGGUGACCUCUGACUGUUUCAUCCUAACAUCGUUGGUGCCGACGUGGAUAACAAUAUCUCUAUACUCUCUACACUCGCCAGAUUUAGCUUUAGCCAGCACCAUUUUAAGAUUAGCCUUAACGUCGGUAGCCCUGCCCCCUGGUAAACAGUGUAUGAUCGCUGGGUGAUUCGUUUUAAGUCUAAUACUGCGGGUAAUGGAGUCGCCAAUGACUAGGGUUUUCAAUUUGUCAGAGCUAACGGUGGGAGCCUUCGGCGUCUCAGACCCCGUAACGGGAGGAGUAGAGACAAGAGAAGACUCAGACUCCGACUCGCUACAUAAUGGGGAAAACCGGUUGAAAGUUUCUGUCGGCUGAAUGAGCGACACCGGUUGAGCAUUCCAACAGCAUUUCCCUCCAGAAGCCAUGAGAAAGUUGUCCGGCUGCGGGGACUGUGCGGGGGGAUUUAUACUAACGUUACUAUCUGUACUUACUGGUGGCACAGACGCUGUUUCUUCCUUUCCUACACUGAAAUUACCCUUGCCUAACGAUUGCGUCUGAAGCUGGGCUUGCAGCACAGCUAUUUUCGCCGUAAGGCGAUCGUUCUCCUGUAUAUUAUGAGUACAGCGACUGCAAUUAGAAGACAUCAUGUUAAUGUUACUACUUAGCUUUGGCUGUUGAAGGUGUUGACGAACCAUGUCCAGAUAAAGCGUCCGGAGUGAAAAAGUUGAAUGAGGGAAAAAAGUUGCGAUGGAAAAACUAAAAAUAUAAACGGUAAUUAAAAACAGAAACAAAACAAAAAACGUAAAGUUGUCAGCUAGCAAAGUAAAGUAAAGUUGGCAGCAAAACGCACAGCAACACGUCUGCAGAUUCAACAGGAAGACUACUGCAUCUAUCAUCCGUACAUUCAGAAAUGACAACCGAACUGAGAGCUGGCCAGGCCAUGGUGGAAGACACUGGCUGUUCACACCAGAACAGGAGACCGCUAUUGUAAACAUGGUGGUGGCAAACAAUACCAUUAGACAAUGAGAAAUCCAGAACCACAUAAUUGCAGACAACAACAAUAUUCAAUAACAUUCACCAGGUGGGCUUGUCUACAUUGGACCGUGUAUUACAGCGCAACCGAAUCCGGAUGAAACAGGUCUACAAGGUGCCAUUUGAGAAACUCAGAGAGAGUUAAAGAACAGCGCUAUGAAUAUGUGCAAGUACUAUACUGUGAAUUUUCUAUCAUAUCAGCACUGUAUAGACACAUUACAGUACUGUACAGUGUAUUGUGCCUCACCAUAUUGACUGCUCUAGGUCUAUGUCACAUAUUGUCUUGUAUGUUUCAGAGAGUCUUGGAGCUGGAUGCUGCUGCAAUUCAGCACGUUUAUAUUUACAUUGAUGAGGCUGGCUUUAACCCAGCCAAAAGAAGGGGAUGGGGACGGAACAUUAUUGGCCACCGUGCCAUUGUGAAUGUCCCUGGACACCGUUGAGGGAAUAUCACCAUGUGCGCAGCCGUUAGCCAGCAAGGCGUCCUCCAUCACCAUGCCAACCUUGGUCCCUACAACACCGUCCUUCUCAUCACAUUCCUGGACACACUACAUGGCAUCCUCAUUCCAGUCGAGCAGUGGGGUGGAUCAGAGCAGCUCAGGUAUGUUGUCAUCUGGGACGAUGUGAGUUUCCACCGGGCUGCUCUGGUCCGCAACUGGUUCAUCGAACACCCACAAUUUAUUGUUCUAUACCUCCCACCAUGUUCUCCAUUCCUAAACGCAAUUGAAUUGUUUUUUCGGCAUGGCGAUGGAAGGUGUAUGACCGCCAUCCCCUCACACGCAUGCCUCUUCUCCAGGCAAUGGUGGAUGCAUGUGGUGAAGUUGAUGUGGUGGCUGGAAGAUUCUUUCCCUGCUGUUUAGCCAGGGAGAACAUCGCUUGGGAUGUAGAUAAGGUGCUGUGGCCAGACCAAAAUAGGAGGCAGGAUGCAGCCUAAUGUCUUUUUCCUUACAUUUUGCAUGUGUUUUUGUCUUUUUGUGUUUAGAAUUUUGAAAGAUUGAGCCACUUUCAUUUUUUUUUUUCACAGAAAACCCUUUAUCUUCCUGAAUGUUUUUCCUGGUUUUCUCCUGUUGGGCAUGGAAAGUGUUCCAUACAAAACACAAGUGUUCAAAAAUACAGCAUUUUGGAAGUAAAUGACAAUGUUUUUGUUACUGUA